rnacentral:rRNA from 1 species
UACGUAGGUGGCGAGCGUUGUCCGGAAUUACUGGGCGUAAAGGGCUCGUAGGCGGCCAACUAAGUCACACGUGAAAUCCCCAGGCUUAACCUGGGAACUGCGUGUGAUACUGGAUGGCUUGAAUCCGGGAGAGGGAUGCAGAAUUCCAGGUGUAGCGGUGAAAUGCGUAGAUAUCUGGAGGAAUACCGGUGGCGAAGGCGGCAUCCUGGACCGGCAUUGACGCUGAUGAGCGAAAGCCAGGGGAGCAAACGGG